rnacentral:rRNA from 1 species
CGCCCKCCGCGCGCGGCGGGCGGGGCGGGGGCACGGGGGGGCGAAGAAGUAUUUCGGUAUGUAAAGCUCUAUCAGCAGGGAAGAAAAUGRCGGUACCUGRCUAAGRAGYUYCGGCUAAAUWCGUGCCAGCAGCCGCGGUWAUACGUAUGGAGCAAGCGUUWUCCGGAUUUWCUGGGUGUAAAGGGAGCGUAGMCGGUUUGCCAAGUCUGAUGUGAAAGGUGUGGGCUCAACCCGCAAACUGCAUUGGAAACUGGUGUACUUGAGUGUCGGAGAGGUAAGUGGAAUUCCUAGUGUAGCGGUGAAAUGCGUAGAUAUUAGGAGGAACACCAGCGGCGAAGGCGGCUUACUGGACGAUAACUGACGUUGAGGCUCGAAAGCGUGGGGAGCAAACAGGAUUAGAUACCCUGGUAGUCCACGCCGUAAACGAKGAAUACUAGGUGUUGG